UCCCAUAUGGUCUAGUGGCUAGCAUAUCUGGCUUUCAUCCAGAAGGGCCCCGGGUUCGAUUCUUGGUAUGGGAA
rnacentral:tRNA from 1 species